GAUGAACGCGGGCGGCAUGCGUAACACAUGCAAGUCAGACGGGAAGUGGUGUUUCCAGUGGCGGCCGGGUGAGUAACGCGAAAGAACCUUCCCUUGGGGCGGGAACAACACCUGGAAACGGCUGCUAAUACCCCCUAGGCUCAGGAGCAAAAGGAGGAAUCCGGCCGAGGAGGGGCUUGCGUCUGAUUAGCGGGUUGGUGAGGCAAUAGCUUACCAAGGCGACGUGCAGUAGCUGGUCCGAGAGGAUGAUACGCCACACUGGGAAUGAGACACGGCCAGGACUCCUACGGGAGGCAGCAGUGGGGGAUGUCCCGCACUGGGCGAAAGAGUGCCGGAGCACUGCGGCGUGGGCGUAGCCCGGCCCCGUGUGGUGGACUGCUUUGACGGCAGAAGAAGCAAUGACGGUAUCUGGAGAAUACGGAACGGCUACAUCAGUG
rnacentral:rRNA from 1 species